rnacentral:rRNA from 1 species
GAUGAACGCUGGCGGCGUGCCUAAUACAUGCAAGUCGAGCGAACAGACGAGGAGCUUGCUCCUCUGACGUUAGCGGCGGACGGGUGAGUAACACGUGGAUAACCUACCUAUAAGACUGGGAUAACUUCGGGAAACCGGAGCUAAUACCGGAUAAUAUAUUGAACCGCAUGGUUCAAUAGUGAAAGACGGUUUUGCUGUCACUUAUAGAUGGAUCCGCGCCGCAUUAGCUAGUUGGUAAGGUAACAGCUUACCAAGGCAACGAUGCGUAGCCGACCUGAGAGGGUGAGCGGCCACACUGGAACUGAGACACGGUCCAGACUCCUACGGGAGGCAGCAGUAGGGAAUCUUCCGCAAUGGGCGAAAGCCUGACGGAGCAACGCCGCGUGAGUGAUGAAGGUCUUCGGAUCGUAAAACUCUGUUAUUAGGGAAGAACAAAUGUGUAAGUAACUAUGCACGUCUUGACGGUACCUAAUCAGAAAGCCACGGCUAGCUACGUG